CUAAGCCAUCUCAGUUCCAAAGAGUCUUGAUUUGAAAUUCUUAAUCUAUUUAAUAUAUACGAGCGCUUCUGUAUAAUGAUCAUGGGAGUAUAUAUCAGGUGAUACGCCUCUUGCAAUUAACUAUACUACUUUUAAUAUAUUAGAUAGAAUAACUGAAAUUGACCGACCGUCUCUAGAGCAAGUUGCAAAAGGCUUGGUAAUUGGUACUCGAGAUCCCUAGUUCGAAUCCUAGUUGAUUUAUAUUUCCAGCUAAAUUUAUUUCUUAAUUAAAUAAACGAAGCGGGUAGCGUGCUACCUAU
rnacentral:lncRNA from 1 species